rnacentral:rRNA from 1 species
GAUGAACGCUGGCGGCGUGCCUAACACAUGCAAGUCGAGCGCGUCUGAUUUGAUGCUUGCAUUGAUGAAAGAUGAGCGGCGGACGGGUGAGUAACGCGUGGGUAACCUGCCCUAUACACUUGGAUAACAUACUGAAAAGUUUACUAAUACAUGAUAAUAUAUAUUUACGGCAUCGGAUAUAUAUCAAAGUGUUAGCGGUAUAGGAUGGACCCGCGUCUGAUUAGCUAGUUGGUGAGAUAACUGCCCACCAAUGCGACGAUCAUUAGCCUACCUGAGAGGUUGAGCGGCCACAUUGGAACUGAUACACGGUCCAAACUCCUACGGGAGGCAGCAGUGUGGAAUAUUGUACAAUGGUCGCAAGCCUGAUGCAUGAACGCCGCGUGAUCUAUAAAGGUCUUCGGAUCGUAUAGUUGUGUUGCUGGGGAAGAUAAUGACUGUACCCUGUUAGGAAUCCCUGGCUAAUUUCUGGCCUGUCAGCCGCGUUUAUACGUAGGGUGUUAGCGUUUUCCUGAUUGACGGGUUGGUAGUGGGUGCGGUGGUUGUCUUCGGGCGGGUGGUGUGAAGGCUGUGUGCUCAACCUUGUUGUGCUCCUGAAACUGUAAUUCUUGUGUGUGCGUGAGAGUAAAGUGGUAUUGUCGGAUGCGAUCUGCUGAUGAUGUUUGAGUUGUGGUAGUAUACGUUGUUUGUCUGCUGAUGCGUUUUCUGUUGCUGUAUCUUGAUGGUGUGCUGUGUGUGUGGUUGUGUUGUACUUGUGUUGUUGUGUCUUGCUUGUGUGUGUGGGUUGGACUGGUGUGUUGUAUGCUUGUUGAAUAUGGUGGGAUCGUGUGGGUGGUAAAUAAAACUGUGUGUUGUGUGAUGUGUGUGUGCUGUGUCUUUGUGUGGAAUGUAGUGCGCAUAGUAGUGUAUGUUUGAUUGUGUAUGUUUUGAUUUAUAAUUUCGAUUGUGUCUGAUGGCCAUGCUGUACUAUGGUAUCGCUGACAUCU